GACGAACGCUGGCGGCGUGCCUAAUACAUGCAAGUCGAACGAACUCUGGUAUUGAUUGGUGCUUGCAUCAUGAUUUACAUUUGAGUGAGUGGCGAACUGGUGAGUAACACGUGGGAAACCUGCCCAGAAGCGGGGGAUAACACCUGGAAACAGAUGCUAAUACCGCAUAACAACUUGGACCGCAUGGUCCGAGUUUGAAAGAUGGCUUCGGCUAUCACUUUUGGAUGGUCCCGCGGCGUAUUAGCUAGAUGGUGAGGUAACGGCUCACCAUGGCAAUGAUACGUAGCCGACCUGAGAGGGUAAUCGGCCACAUUGGGACUGAGACACGGCCCAAACUCCUACGGGAGGCAGCAGUAGGGAAUCUUUCACAAUGGACGAAAGUCUGAUGGAGCAACGCCGCGUGAGUGAAGAAGGGUUUCGGCUCGUAAAACUCUGUUGUUAAAGAAGAACAUAUCUGAGAGUAACUGUUCAGGUAUUGACGGUAUUUAACCAGAAAGCCACGGCUAACUACGUGCCAGCAGCCGCGGUAAUACGUAGGUGGCAAGCGUUGUCCGGAUUUAUUGGGCGUAAAGCGAGCGCAGGCGGUUUUUUAAGUCUGAUGUGAAAGCCUUCGGCUCAACCGAAGAAGUGCAUCGGAAACUGGGAAACUUGAGUGCAGAAGAGGACAGAGGAACUCCAUGUGUAGCGGUGAAAUGCGUAGAUAUAUGGAAGAACACCAGUGGCGAAGGCGGCUGUCUGGUCUGUAACUGACGCUGAGGCUCGAAAGUAUGGGUAGCAAACAGGAUUAGAUACCCUGGUAGUCCAUACCGUAAACGAUGAAUGCUAAGUGUUGGAGGGUUUCCGCCCUUCAGUGCUGCAGCUAACGCAUUAAGCAUUCCGCCUGGGGAGUACGGCCGCAAGGCUGAAACUCAAAGGAAUUGACGGGGGCCCGCACAAGCGGUGGAGCAUGUGGUUUAAUUCGAAGCUACGCGAAGAACCUUACCAGGUCUUGACAUACUAUGCAAAUCUAAGAGAUUAGACGUUCCCUUCGGGGACAUGGAUACAGGUGGUGCAUGGUUGUCGUCAGCUCGUGUCGUGAGAUGUUGGGUUAAGUCCCGCAACGAGCGCAACCCUUAUUAUCAGUUGCCAGCAUUAAGUUGGGCACUCUGGUGAGACUGCCGGUGACAAACCGGAGGAAGGUGGGGAUGACGUCAAAUCAUCAUGCCCCUUAUGACCUGGGCUACACACGUGCUACAAUGGAUGGUACAACGAGUUGCGAACUCGCGAGAGUAAGCUAAUCUCUUAAAGCCAUUCUCAGUUCGGAUUGUAGGCUGCAACUCGCCUACAUGAAGUCGGAAUCGCUAGUAAUCGCGGAUCAGCAUGCCGCGGUGAAUACGUUCCCGGGCCUUGUACACACCGCCCGUCACACCAUGAGAGUUUGUAACACCCAAAGUCGGUGGGGUAACCUUUUAGGAACCAGCCGCCUAAGGUGGGACAGAUGAUUAGGGUG
rnacentral:rRNA from 1 species